UACGGAGGAUGCGAGCGUUAUCCGGAUUUAUUGGGUUUAAAGGGUGCGUAGGCGGACGCUUAAGUCAGCGGUAAAAUUGCGGGGCUCAACCUCGUCGAGCCGUUGAAACUGGGUGCCUUGAGUGGGCGAGAAGUACGCGGAAUGCGUGGUGUAGCGGUGGAAUGCAUAGAUAUCACGCAGAACUCCGAUUGCGAAGGCAGCGUACCGGCGCCCAACUGACGCUGAAGCACGAAGGCGUGGGUAUCGAACAGG
rnacentral:rRNA from 1 species